rnacentral:rRNA from 1 species
GAUGAACGCUGGCGGCGUGCCUAAUACAUGCAAGUCGAGCGAACGGACGAGAAGCUUGCUUCUCUGAUGUUAGCGGCGGACGGGUGAGUAACACGUGGAUAACCUACCUAUAAGACUGGGAUAACUUCGGGAAACCGGAGCUAAUACCGGAUAAUAUUUUGAACCGCAUGGUUCAAAAGUGAAAGACGGUCUUGCUGUCACUUAUAGAUGGAUCCGCGCUGCAUUAGCUAGUUGGUAAGGUAACGGCUUACCAAGGCAACGAUGCAUAGCCGACCUGAGAGGGGGAUCGGCCACACUGGAACGGAGACACGGUCCAGACUCCUACGGGAGGCAGCAGUAGGGAAUCUUCCGCAAUGGGCGAAAGCCUGACGGAGCAACGCCGCGUGAUUGAGGAAGGUCUUCGGAUCGUAAAACUCUGUUAUUAGGGAAGAACAUAUGUGUAAGUAACUGUGCACAUCUUGACGGUACCUAAUCAGAAAGCCACGGCUAACUACGUG